GUCUGUAGUAACGAGUGGAUGAGACUGAUAGCAGCGCACACUAUUUUCGACAAAUGUCAAGUUAUCCUCUUCAUAAACGUGAACCAAAGGAUUGGAGUCGGGGAACCCCUGGCUUCAUCAGACUGGAAUUUGUGGAAUGAAUAUUAUGGAGCUCAAGACAAGGUGGCUGUCAUGCAGUGUCCAAAGUCUACAUCUGUCAGGGUACUGCAGGGGUCUUGACUCUGCUGUCCUCCGUGUCUUUUCUCGAAGCCUCUACAAUGGUUUCUAUAAAGUGUCGUCAACAAAACAUACCACAAGGUAACUGAUCUUCUGUUCCAUAGGAUAUUACAUCCAAGACCAAGGCGGGGAGGUAAGGGAUCAAAGAGAGUCGUCCUUGGUAUAUUCGUCACUCAUAGAAACUAGUCUGUCAGGCUCACACUGGCCCAAAUCUGCUCUGAAGCUGCUUUAUUCAUAGUCCAAAUUAUUUAUGCAUACUUUUCAUAUACUUGAUUUUCCUCUCGUGCACCUUCAAACAUGGCAUGGUCAUUUUGCAUUAUGCUUUUUUUCCGGAUGCCUUUUUUCCCAUCAGUUCCCUGUAUUUCCUGGGUCCCAAUACGCAUUUUGCUAAAUUCUCUCCGUAUUUUUAUUUUUCCUAGUUCAUGUGAUCUUUUAUAAUUUCAAGACACAAGUCUGUGGUUUUUAUGGCGAUGAAAUCACACUCCUUUUCCUCUAGGAUGCGGUCACUUAAGGUUAUUUAACACGCUGUUUCAUUGACUUUGCGUUGAAAUAAAAAGAUCAUUAGCUACUCUGAGCACCGUAAAGAAGCCAUAAAGGUACACACUUGUACUUUCUGAAAAAAAAAAAACCUCCGUGGUUAUCGCUGUAUUCAAUUUGUAUAUUUACUCCAUUUUUAUAUAUAAAGAACCGGUUUAUGCCUCUGUUCACAGGAGCCUUUAAAACUUUUACGUGCUAUUCGUACUGUUUCAGCUAAUUAUUGCUGAAAUGCAGGCUACAUUCACAUUAAACUUUACGACCCCCUCCCCACCCCCCGCCCGUUGUGACCCCUUUUUAAUUGACAGAUGUUAGUUUUGGGGCUUGUAUUUAGUCGAGUGGCUUCCAAUUAGGGUGGUGAAAUUUGUAUACUACAGAUAAAAGAAAAUCAAUGGAAAUGGACUUGUUUUCUCUUACCAGCGUAAUAUGUGAUAUGACAAUAAUUAG